ACAUUCACUUUUAUUUAGUUUUUUAGACUAUGAUUUCUCUUCUUUCACAAAAAUUCUGAUUAUUGCUCUCACUGUUCUAUCAUAUUUCAAAAACAUCCAAUACUCCAUAUUUUUCUUCACCAUAAACUGAUAAAAUAGAAAUCUGAAAUUCGUUCUCUUUGGAAAUCAAAUUAGGGGUAAUUUCAAUUCCAUUUUGAUUUGAGGAAGUUGAUUUCUUAUUCAAGCUAUUCGAAGGCAUUUUACGGGAUUAUCUACUACGCAAUUGUCGUAGUUUUUGAUCCAUGGAUUGAUGAAUCAGAUGAGCAGUACAAAUGGCACAUAAUGCAUUUGCUCAAGAAGUAUUUUGCAAAUUACAACGAAUAUUCAAAUUUAUACUUCAUGUCUAUCCCGGAGCAUGCACUGCCAUUAUGGUUUCACUUGACAUUCCUGGCAUUUUGAAGAUAUGAGCUGAAAACUUGCACUCUUGGUAUCUGGGAAAGGAGGUUUAUUUAAGUGUUCUGAAUUAUGUAAAGGACGGUUCAGAGGUUCGUUUGCCAGAUAACACAAUCUGUUGCGGCUUACUAUCAUCAUAACAAAGGUUUGAAAGACUAGAAGUACAAAAGCCCAAUUCUCCAUCUUCUUCUCUUCUUGCCAGCAUGCAGUAUAGAGUGAAAGAACACUAAUUCUUGAAAGGAACUCCCCUCCACCAACUGAAGUCCAUGAAUACUUGUAGUUAAUAAAUUUUAUUUUUGUUUACAUGUCAACUCCACUUUUUUGGAGUAAAUUACAUUUGCCGCAAUUGUAAAAGAUGUAGUAAUUGACAUUUUCAUUUGCAGCAUUUUCUUAAACAAAAAUCGUGAUAAAUGAAUUUGUUUUUUGUUGCAUUUUUUCGAUGCGGCAAAAGAUAUUUGUCAA